UGUCCCACACCCUGAGAAGCAAGGACUAAGCCCAGGGAGUCUGUGCCAGCCAGGGCAGGGGCCUGCUGCUGGGGCUGGCAGUCAGGAAGAUGCCAAGCGGAAUGCUGAGCCUGGCCUUGGCACCCACAGGUAGUGCUUGUUCGCGGAUCUGGCAGAGCCCACGUUUCAUAGCCAGGAAACGGGGCUUCACGGUGAAAAUGCACUGCUACCUGAACAGCGCCUCCGGCAAUGUGAGCUGGCUCUGGAAGCAGGAGAUGGACGAGAAUGCCCAGCAGCUGAAGCUGGAAAAGGGCCGCAUGGAAGAGUCCCAGAACGAAUCUCUCGCCACCCUCACCAUCCAAGGCAUCCGGUUUGAGGACAAUGGCAUCUACUUCUGCCAGCAGAAGUGCAACAACACCUCGGAGGUCUACCAGGGCUGCGGCACAGAGCUGCGAGUCAUGGGAUUCAGCACCUUGGCACAGCUGAAGCAGAGGAACACGCUGAAGGAUGGUAUCAUCAUGAUCCAGACGCUGCUGAUCAUCCUCUUCAUCAUCGUGCCCAUCUUCCUGCUGCUGGACAAGGAUGACAGCAAGGCUGGCAUGGAGGAAGAUCACACCUACGAGGGCCUGGACAUUGACCAGACAGCCACCUACGAGGACAUAGUGACGCUGCGGACAGGGGAAGUGAAGUGGUCUGUAGGUGAGCACCCAGGCCAGGAGUGAGAGCCAGGUCGCCCCACGCCCUGGGUGCAGGCUCCCUGGCCUCAGUGACUGCUUCGGAGCUGCCUGGCUCAUGGCCCAACCCCUUUCCCGGACCCCCAGCUGGCCUCUGAAGCUGGCCCGCCAGAGCUGCCAUUCAUCUCCAGCCCCUGGUCCCCAGCUCUUGCCAAAGGGCCUGGAGUAGAAGGACAACAGGGCAGCAACUUGGAGGGAGUUCUCUGGGGAUGGACGGGACCCAGCCUUCUGGGGGUGCUAUGAGGGGAUCCGCCCCCACACAUGGGAUGGGGGAGGCAGAGACUGGUCCAGAGCCCGCAAAUGGACUCGGAGCCGAGGGCCUCCCAGCAGAGCUUGGGAAGGGCCAUGGACCCAACUGGGCCCCAGAAGAGCCACGGGAACAUCAUUCCUCUCCCGCAACCGCUCCCACCCCAGGGAGGCCCUGGCCUCCAGUGCCUUCCCCCGU
rnacentral:sRNA from 1 species